AUUGAACGCUGGCGGCAGGCUUAACACAUGCAAGUCGAGCGAGCGGCGGACGGGUGAGUAAUGUCUGGGAAACUGCCUGAUGGAGGGGGAUAACUACUGGAAACGGUAGCUAAUACCGCAUACCAUCUGAUGUGCCCAGAUGGGAUUAGCUAGUAGGUGGGGUAAUGGCUCACCUAGGCGACGUUCCCUAGCUGGUCUGAGAGGAUGACCAGCCACACUGUACCUGAGACACGGUCCAGACUCCGGCGGGAGGCAGCAGUGGGGAAUAUUGCCCGAUGGGCGCAAGCCUGAUGCAGCCAUGCCGCGUGUGUGAAGAAGGCCUUCGGGUUGUAAAGCACUUUCAGCGAGGAGGCGUUACUCGCAGAAGAAGCACCGGCUAACUCCGUGCCAGCCGCCGCGGUAAUUC
rnacentral:rRNA from 1 species